rnacentral:misc_RNA from 1 species
GAUGAAGAACGCAGCGAAAUGCGAUACGUAAUGUGAAUUGCAGAAUUCAGUGAAUCAUCGAAUCUUUGAACGCAUAUUGCGCUCUCUGGUAUUCCGGAGAGCAUGCUUGUUUGAGUAUCAGUAAACACCUCAACUUCCAUAUCUUUUUUGAAUUGGGAGUUGGACUUGAGUGAUCCCAACGCUUUUCCUCACCGAAAAGUGGCGGGUUACUUGAAAUGCAGGUGCAGCUGGACUUUUCUCUGAGCUAUAAGCAUAUCUAUUUAGUCUGCCUAAAAACAGAUUAUUACCUUUGCUGCAGCUAACAUAAAGGAGAUUAGUUCUUGUGCUGACUGAUGCAGGAUUCACAAAGACAGGCUUCGGCCGACUUUGUAAACUCGAUCUCAAAUCAAGUAAGACUACCCGCUGAACUUAAGCAUAUCAAUAAGCGGAGGA